GGCUGGUCCGAUGGCAGUGGGUUAUCAGAACUUACUAACAUUAGUGUCACUAAAGUUGGUAUACCACCCCCCCCACUGCUAAAUUUGACUGGCUUAAA
ensembl:misc_RNA Y_RNA Y RNA